rnacentral:misc_RNA from 1 species
GAUGAAGAACGCAGCGAAAUGCGAUAAGUAAUGUGAAUUGCAGAAUUCAGUGAAUCAUCGAAUCUUUGAACGCACAUUGCGCCCGCUAGUAUUCUGGCGGGCAUGCCUGUCCGAGCGUCAUUUCAACCAUCAAGCCUCGUGCUUGUGUUGGGGACCUGCGUCCGACGCAGGCCCUGAAAACCAGUGGCGGGCUCGCUGUCCACACCGAGCGUAGUAACUAACCUCGCUAUGGAGUGGCGCGGGCGCCUGCCGUAAAACCCCCAAUUUCACAAGGUUGACCUCGGAUCAGGUAGGAAUACCCGCUGAACUUAAGCAUAUCAAUAAGCGGAGGA